rnacentral:rRNA from 1 species
GAUGAACGCUGGCGGCGUGCCUAAUACAUGCAAGUCGAGCGAACAGACGAGGAGCUUACUCCUCUGACGUUAGCGGCGGACGGGUGUGUAACACGUGGAUAACCUACCUAUAAGACUGGGAUAACUUCGGGAAACCGGCGCUAAUACCGGAUAAUAUAUUGAACCGCAUGGUGCAAUAGUGAAAGACGGUUUUGCUGUAACUUAUAGAUGGAUACGCGCCGCAUUAGCUAGUUGGUAAGGUAACGGCUUACCAAGGCAACGAGGCGUAGACGACCUGACAGGGGGAUCGGCCACAUGGGAACGUAGACAGGGACCAGACUCCUACGGGAGGCAGCAGUAGGGAAUCUUCCGCAACGGGGGAAAGCCUGACGGAGCAACGCGGCGUGAGUGAUGAAGGUCUUCGGUUCGUAAAACUCUGUUAUGAGUGAAGAACAAAUGUGUAAGUAACUAUGCACGUCUUGACGGUACCUAAUCAGAAAGCCACGGCUAACUACGUG